rnacentral:pre_miRNA from 1 species
AUUCUACUCCCUCCAUUGCACAAUACAUGCCUUCUAUUUGUCAAAAUAUAUAUGUAUCUAGACAUGUUUUAGUAUAUAGGCACAUCCAUUUUUGGACAAAUGGAAGUCAAGUAUUUUGGAAUGGAGGGAGUACAUA